UGAGUGUGGAAAAGAGAGGUAGAAAGGAAGAAUGGGAGAGAAUGAAUGCCAAGCCCAGUGGUUUGUUGACUUGAGGGGUAUACGAGGCCAACAGUGAGUGUUGCUCAGCUAAAUUUUUCCAUAAUCAAGAUGAAGAAGAGCCAUUUCUAGCUUAUUCUGUAUAUCUUAGCAUUUCUAAGUGUCCUAAGGGAUUUAGCUGGUUUGAAACCUCAGCUUCUCAUAAACACAGAAGUCUGAGGCUUAAUUUAUUCUGCAACUUGGACCUCAUUUGGUCAUCAUAGAUUCCUUGGAUUAGACUAUGUAAUAAUCAUCUUCUGAGAAUGCAGUUUAUUUAUUUUCUCUACCUUGUCAAUGAAAGGUACUCAUUUAUCAGUUAUAGGAAUAUGAACUCAGGCAAAUAUUUUAAAACAUUAUGGAUCUCUUCUUUCCACUCACCUGGAUUAGUAUGGCCAGACAAAAUAUACAAUACCCAGUUACAUUUGAAUUUCAGAUAAACAAUGGAUCUUUUUUUAGUAUAUCCCAAAUAUUGCAUAGGAUAUAUUAUACUAAAAAGACCUGCUGCUUACCUAAAAUUCAAACCUAACUGGAUAUCUUCUAUUUUCAUUUGCUAAAUCUAAUAACCCUAACUAACUCUUGCAGAAAAAUGUCCUUGGCAAAGUACUGAGGCUCCUAUUGGUGUGACCAGAGCUUUGCUCCUCUAACAGUCAAGGUUUCAAGUGCUUUGCUCAGCGGUUGUAGAGGUAGGUGUGAGCCACAGCAUUUGAUGUGGCAGAAGUUGCCUUCCCUCAGGCAAUCACCAAUAACUUCCCCCUUUGUGCUGCACACUACAACAUACUGUAGUCAAGAGGGAAUGACUGUGAUCUUCUCGUUAUUUACUGAAGGAUGUAAAACCUCUCCCCUCACCAAAAAUAAAAAGCCUUUUAUUUUUACCUUCUUUUCCUUGACCAGUGCAUCAAGGGAUUGAAUGGAGGGCAUGACUUCCUUGUUCAUUUUGUGCACAAUGCAUGUCUUCUUUUGAAAGAGUCUGGUUGCAGUGAGCCAAGAUCGUGCCAUUGCACUCCAGCCUGGGC
rnacentral:lncRNA from 10 species